AAAAAUUAAGUUAAGCAACAGAUCCUGGGGUUUUUAAGAACCACCUCUUGCAAGACACGUGUGGCAAGAAGAGAGUAUUGCGUUUACUCCAUCUCUCUCUCGACGGUUCAAUGCAGCGAUUGAUUUCUCUCUGUUGAUCUUCUGAUUCAACACUCCGGCUCUCUCUGUUGCUCUCAACGAUGAUGAAUCACUGCCUCUUACCGGCGGUGUUGAGAGUAUUCGCGGUGAUGACGACGGCGCCGAGAGACAUGACGGCGAGGGAGACGACGGGGAAAUAGAUAGAGUUGGGAGAGAGGAUGAGGACGACGUGGCCAGUGGCGGUGGCGGUGUCGAUGAAGGUGGUGGCCAGUGGCGGCGUCGAUGAAGGCGGUGGUUCCGCGGUGAGACUGAGAGGAGAUGAAAGUGGUGACAUCAACUUUGUAUUAUUGUCUGAACCCAGUUGCUCGUUAUUACUAUACACUUAAAGAUGCUAUGGGGUGUGGGAAAAGAAGAUAUACGGCUGUCAAAGAUGCAGACGACAUGGAAACAUGAGUAUAUGACAAACCUCUGCCUUGCUUUGGUUGUGGAAUCGGAUGGUUCUCCUUUCUACUAGGUUUUGUGUUCCCUCCUUUGUGAUGGAAGAUGAGGGCGUUGAAAGAUUUGGGAUUGGAUGUGAUAAAAGGAACCAUCUCAACUGAAGGAUCCGUUAAGCAGACCAAAUUUUCUAUAACAAAACUGUAAGCAACGCCGUUCUGUCCCUGCUCCUCUUUUGCCUUUAUGUGUUUUUCUAUCACUUAUUAGACCACUUCCCCGCCCUUGGCUCAGGAGUCUACUAGCUCUGGUCCUUCAAUGGUGAAUGGGUUCAUAUUUAUGUUUAAUAAUAAAAAAGGGUUCAUAUUUAUGUUUAAUAAAAAAAAAAAUCCUUAAAAACCCUUAGUUUAAGAACCUACCAUUGGAGCAAUUAAACUAAACGUUUUUUAACAAAAGUUCUUAAUCUACAUUUAUUACUAAAAUACUCAUUAAGAACUCCUAAUGGAGUUCCAUGGUUAAUCAUGCUCUUAGAGUCCGUUUUAAAUGCAGUGGCAAAUUGUGGUAGUUGGUCAGUCUAUAUGGACCGGCGGCUGUACUCAAAGUGAAGUUAGUGACAAAUAUCCACUUACCUUUCAAUUUCGAGCUAUUUAUAUUUAUGUUACGAUAUAAUAAUAACAAAAUCAUAACUAAAUUUAUUUGUUGAAGUAGUUAUGAUUUUUAGAAAUGAAAUAUUUGUUGUCCUAUAUUUAGGAUCGAUUAGGUACAAUGUUAAUUGUUUGUGUGUUUAAGAAAUAAAUAUCUCGAACAACUAAGAAUUUUAGUUACUCAUUCCGUUUCAUUUUAAUUGUCGUUUUACGCUUAUGAAAAUAUAUUAAAAAAUAUUUAAUUUUGCAUAUUUACUAAAUAAAAAUAUCAUUAUCGAUACUGCGAUACACCUAAACACAUUUUAACCUAUAGAAAAAUAGGAUGGACUAUAAAGUCAAUAAAUUUUAUAUUGAAACUAUAAGGCACUACUUAUUUUGAAACGAAAAUUUUAUUGGAGCGGGUAUGAAGAAAAUACGAAGCUUGAGGAGAAAGUUGGCGUAUAUCAUAGUUUCCAUGAGUCAAGAGUCUUUGUGAAGUAUUAUGUUAACUUUCCCAAAGCUAUUGUAUAGAGAUCAUGUCUUAGGUUUGUAUAUAUGAUGGUGAGAUGUAAUGGAAUGGACAAGAAAUUAAGCACAAAGCUUAUCAUGGUAUCAGAGCUAUAAUAGCAAAAACCCUCAAAAUUUCUCAAGAUCGACAUGAGUAUCACAAAAGAGAAGAAGAACGAGACAGAGAUGAUUCGUGUGGGCGCGGAAGCGCGGAAGCGACACUCUCACCAUACUACCUACAUGAUGCGGAUGGACCUGGAAACACAAUAACUACGGUUCAACUAAUUAAGGGGGAGAACUAUGAAGAAUGGGCAAAGCAUGUGCGGAACGCCUUGCGAAUGAAGGCUUCAUCGAUGGAACUCUGAAGAAACCAACUUAACCAGAAGAUAUCGAACAAUGGGAGGUGGUGAAUGCUAUUAUAGUAGCAUGGAUAAUGAACACCAUUGAACCAACAUCCUUUGUAUGACUGCAUUAUCAUAGUUACUAACAUAGGAGAGGACUAUAGAAAGAGAUGUAAAUAUGAAUCUCUUACAUGGAUAGCUUUUAUAAACACAUUUGGGUUUAUUAACAGUUUGUGACAAGCGAUUUUGUUUUAGUGAAGGAGACCCGUCGCAGCGACAA